rnacentral:rRNA from 1 species
GCCGCGCCACAUGGUGAAGGGGGCUAAGCGAGAAGGGAGGGAAAAAGGAGGAGAGCGAGCUGCGGGGUCCUCACCUAUCGGCCGUAAGUAGCUGAGGCCAGCCGCCGGGCGCGGGCGCGGCACUCCCUCCUGGCGCCCCCCCGGUCGGGUGGGGUGGCCCUCCCUCGGAGCAGAGAGAAACAGAGGGGCGGGGGAUGUCCUCCGAGGGAGGACGAGUCCCAGUCUCGCCGCCUCCGCCGGCCGCCGGCCGAACCCCAGUCUCGCCGCCGACGCCGGCCGCCGCGCCGCCGACCUAACCCCAGUCUCGCCAGUCCGGUCGCGGCACCCAUC